CAGCCUGGCACCUGGCGACAAAGCAACACUCUGUCUCCAAAAAAAAAAAAAAAGGAUCUUGUAGACAACUGUAGAGCAUGAAAAAGAAAAAAAUUCUAAAAAUUUAACUAGCCUUAAUAGUUGCCACACAUAAAACAUUAAAGCCAUAAAACCACAAUUUAGGAGAUUGUGUUUUUAGGGGAUCUUUUACUUUAUUUGACAAAUGAGAGUAUAUUGAUAUUUUGCUUAAGAAAGUGGAAAUAAUGAUUAUAGAAUUUUUAAAUUAAUGAUGGCAUUAUUUUUAACAUUAAAAAAAAUCUGAAAUCACGAAGUUAUCCUGGAUUAUUUUGCACUUUUAAACUCAUAAAGUUUCUAUGAAGACCAUAAUAAUGCAGAAAAUCUGCAUAAUUUUCUUAGCACAGAAUCUGAAGAACUAACUUGUAGUACUUUAUACUAAAUUCUGUUAGAGUGAAAGAGGAGAAUUUGUAUAUGUUAGUAUUGUAAGUAAAAAUAUGCUUGCAAAAAUGUAAAUCUGUAUUAGAGAAUGAUACUUGCACCAAAAAUUAUGAGCUAGACUGUGCACCUGUGUUCCCAAGCUAGGUUCAGUUUCUCAACAAAAACAACACAUUUUCUUGGAUAUACUGUGUACAGAAUUUGGUAUAACAGUUUGUCUAGUGAAGUAAAUUGGGAUUUGGUACAUUGUAUAAGAUUAUGUCUACCCAUAGGCUAUGGCAUUGCUGUUGUUUGGAUGUAUAUAUGUAUGCAUACAUGUUUUACAAUUAUGUAGUGCUGUUUGUGAUACUGUGAUUUUAAAAUUUCUAGAAUCAACUGUUGAGAUAGGAAUGGUGGUUAUUAUAGAGGUUAUCAUUUUUUCCUGAAGACAUAUAACAGGUGGUUGAACUGCAAUUAGAAGCUUGGUCUUUUAACUCCUUGGUUCUUUCCUACUGUACCAAUGCGUACAUAUAUUAUCUGUUCUGGUGGAUUUGGUUUAAUGGAACUGAAUGACUCUAAUUCUUACCAUAAACUUCUCUAAAUGGAGAAAAAAACAAAACAGAAAGGACUUGGAAUCAUGAAAAUAUUGAAAGGCUCUUCUUUUAGUAAUUGUUUUUCAAAUUAAAUUUAUACCUGCACAUUUUAGUUUAUGAAAACCACAUAAAUGGUUUUUGCAGGAAAGGGGAAUGUGGUUGGGAGCAUUAAUCAAAUGUUAAUUAUUAAAGUGGAGGUUAUUAUCCAGCAAAUCCCAACUCUUCCAACUUGUUAGCACAUGCAAGUGGGGCAGUAGUUAAAAGAAAAAAAUGAAACUCAACCAUGGGAAUUGAUUCUUGAUGAAGAUAACAUACAGUUAAAUAAGGCUAUGAUAAAUGAGGGUAGAAAAAGAAAAAAAGAUUCCAGUAACUUUAGAGAGGUAUUAAUGAAAGCUUUUUGCAAAGAAACAUUUUAAUUAAAUUUUUAUUGAUUUUACCUAUCCUUAGCACAAGUUUUAGAUCUUAAUAUUACCAAUUUUGUUUUAGUAUUAGCCUAUAAUUCCUCCAGUGGAAAAUUUAAAAAUCUUAAUCCCAUUUCAGUUAGUUAACAAGCGGUAUGAAGAGUUCUCUGUUACAAUCAUACUAAACCAAAGAAUAUGUGAAAGGAAAUCUUUACAUAAAAGUACAGGAGAACAAAUACAUGUAUGGAGGGUCUUCUAAUACUGUAACGUUUAAUUUAAGCUACCUUUACUAUUAUUACCAAAGAUUGUUUAUUAGCUUGUAUACUGUAGAAAUUGAUUUGUCUUUAUUCAUGCUGUCAUUUGUUGAAAUCAGCCUUUGGCAUGAGGUAAAAUUAAGAGGUGCCACAUAAUAAUUCUACAGCUAAAUUAGAUGUACAUUUAUGAUUCUAGUCUUGGCACCGUUUACACUUGAUUGCGAUAAUCCACUGCAACUGUAAUUUUAUUGUGCUCGAUUUUUAUUGUGUCUCUGUGUAAAGUGCAUUGGUAGGUAGUUAAAAGAUAGAAAAAUGAAUGAGAUACAGCUCCUGUCCUUAAAGAUCUUGCCAGUAGUUACAAUCUAAUUGAGGAGACAUAACAUGUACCAUCAGCUUAAGUGCUAUGUGCUAUGUAAAUGAAAAUGAUGGUGGGGCUUGGAUGUGUGGGGAUAAGAAGUUAACAUUUAUUGAACAUCUGCUAUGAUCUGGAUGGUUUUCUUUAAUUCUCCCCCAGAUUCUCUAAGAUAGGCAUUAUUUAAUAGCUGAAAAACCUAAGCCUUUAAAAGUUUUAGGAAUUUGCCAGAGUAUAUAUGUAUAUAUUUAUCUAUCAGCAGUAUCUGUGUGCUGACAUAUAGCCUGGUUUUGAAUCACAAGAGAUACAGUUACAAAGAUGUUAGUUUUCCUGACACCAGACUGGCACUCUUAAGACUAAUGAGCAAGGAAUCAUGUUGGAAUGGGGCCACCUGACAAAGUUUCAUGGUGGAGUUGAAAUUUAAGCUGAGUCUUGUAAGGAUGGGUAGGAUUUUUCAUGUGUGCAGUAGCAGAGAGUAUACUGUUCUGGGAAGUCAGGACUGUGAAAAUGCCAAGCAGGUGGAGACACUGAAUGACCAGUUUGGCUGGAGUAGAUCAUCUAUAUAUAUUAAUUUAUUCAUGCCUUCAGCAGGUUUUAUUGAGCACCUACAAUAUGACUUGGGGAAUGCAUAGGUGACCAAGGUAUAGUUCCUGCCCGUCAAGGAGUUUAUAGUCUACUUGGAGAGGCAAACAAACAUACCCACAGAUCAGAGAUUCUAAUAUAUGGUAAUCUGGGCUGCAGUUGAGCAAUGUUCAGGGUUCCGAGGGAUUGCAGAGAGGGGUUCUAACAGUCUGGUGAGUGAGUAAGUGUGUGUGUGUGUGUGUGUGUGUGUGUGUGUGUGUGUGGGUGUGGUGUGAGUGCACAAUGAAAGAAUAGUUGAAGUAAAGUUUGGGAUUGAAGAUGAGUUUGGUUUAAGAUGUGAAUUUGAGGUAAUACCAGGAUAUUCAUGAAACAUUCUUUUUUUUUUAUUGCACUUUAGAUUCUGGGGUACAUGUGCAGAACAUGCAGGAUUGUUGCAUAGGUACAUACACGGCAAUGUGGUUUACUGCCUCUAUCCCAGUCACCUAUAUCUGGCAUUUCUUUAAGCAAUUAUGGGACUGCAAUUAAGGAGAGGGUUCAGAAUAGCAGACUUUCUGAACUCUCUCAGAAAGGGGGUAGUUAGGAUCCCUAAGGGAAGGAAUUUAGAGACAAAUGUACAGAAGGUCUAAUUCUGAACUUUUGGAGUCACUUUAGGGGCUGGGAAGAAGUAGAGCUAGAAAAUAAUCCUGAGAAGAAGGACAUCUAAGACCAGGGAACGGGGGAAAGAUGAUGGUUGAAGCCAAGGGAGAAGAGAACACGGGUGUGGUGAUCACCUGAGAGGCCAACAAAAAGAUGGAGCUAACACCCAUUAUGGAGAUUAACCACUUUUCAUCAAGGUUUUAAGUCUUGAGGACUACAGUGGUGAAUACAAGGGCAAACAUUAUACUGUGGAGACACAAAAUGUUUUGAGGUAUCUGUGACCAGGCAUGUCACGUGUGAAUAUACCACUGGACUUCAAAGCAACACAUUGUAACUUAUUUUUUUCAUUUUACAACAGAUUCAUUUUAUUUUCAUCACCAUGGGGCGUACCCUGUUGUUGAGUUCUCUGGGUCACACCUCUGGAGAUUUCUCAGAUGCAUCCUAUGUCUCUGGGCUUGCUCUUCUGAAAUUACUCGCUACUCCGGGAGAUGGUUGAGAUGGUUGCGUCCCAUUACUUUGUUGCUCCAGCUGCAGCUCUUCUGAUGGAGUUCCUUGUUCAGCUGGUUGACGUGCUCUCUUCCUCCGGUGUUGUUAAAGCCUUAGAUUUUUGUGGAGCAUUUUUCUUCCUGGCUCUCCCUCGAGUUGCUUUUCUUUUCUUCGCCACCUUGGGAUUCUUCUUCGCUACCUUGGGACUCUUCUUCGUGCUACUGGACGUCGUUUGAGAGGAGGACUCUUCUUCCUUGUCCCCUUGGUGUUGGUUAGUGAUUGCUCUUCGACUGCUGGACCGGAGGCUCUCAGUUUUCUGUUCAUCUUCAGCAAGUCAGUGUCUCUCAAGGGGCUCACGUUGCAGCAUCUUACCAGAGGCCACUGGGCCUGGAGCUCCAGUUCCAGUGUCUGGAGAGUCCAGUUCAGCUCAGCAAUCUCAUGCCUGCUGGCACUUAUCAGCAGAAGCCGAUGCCUGCCCAUCAGUUCUCUACUCUGAGGUGUUAGAGUGGAAGAAAAAUAAAUAUAAAUACCUAUACUAGUUUUCAUGAGCUCUGCUUAAUAUUGGGUGGUUUUUUUUUUUUUUUGGUGGUGAUAGGUUUACCUUUCAUUAAACCAGGCCUUAGCCUUUCUGUGGCUUUGCUCUUGCAAAGCCUCAUAUUACCCUCUCGUCUGGUUCAGCAGGACAGCCAAGGUCUACACCUGAGGCUGUUUGUUUUCUACAUUUACCUCAACAUAAGAUACCUUAUUAUUGUCAUCCGUCAUCUCCUGAUCCAAAGUAAAAUAAAAUGCCACAGGUUACUUGAUCUUGCAUCUGGAAGAUGAUUAUUUAAAGAAAUUAAACAUUUAAAACUGAAAAUAUAGUUUAGAAAUAUUUUUUAAUGUUUUAAAAAAAUUAUAGGAGACAAUAUUGUUACUAGAUUUAAUAAAAUACAGAAUGCCGAUUAAAUUUGAAUUUCAAAUAAACAUUGACUACUUAAUUUUGGUAUAACUAUUCCACGCAAUAUUUGGGACAUAUUUGUUAUAUUACUCAUUGUUUACCUGAAAUUAUAAUUUAAAUGGAGAGUCCUGUAUUUUAUCUGGCAACCCUAUUAUAAAAAUAUUUAGGAUAAAUAUAAAGAAAUAAUAUUUUAAAUUUUUACAAAAUAUUUUAAUGCAAGUAAUUUAUUUGAUUUUCACUGUCACCCUGAGGGGUACGUUUUGCCUUACAGUCUGUGUUACUUUACCUGUGUUUUAUGAAAAUAAUGUCUCUUAUAAUGAUAGCCACCACCACCACAUCUUUACAAGUAUUGACAUACUGAAACUUUACAUUCAUUUUGUGUAGUUCCCACCUCUUCAUGAUUGUUUCUGAGGUAAUUCAACUCCUCCAUCUCCAUUUGCAAGUCUAGGUUAGUCUUGUUCAAAGUCAACUCAUCCAAGACACUUUGUGGGCCCUUGCUAUCAGUCUCAACACGCUGAUAAAGGACACUUUACUCUGGUGUCUGAACAGAGCCCUGUUAGAAGAAUCAAUACAGCUUAGAUGGAGGUGUCCUCAGCCAGUGGUAAUAGGACAUCUCAUAUACUGGAGCUUAUAGAGCACAGCACUGGGGUGUAAAGACAUGGGUUCAGUUUGCACCUCUGCCAUGUUCAGCUGUCAGUUUGGCAAAUUACUUCUCUGAACCUUGGUUUUCUCAUCAUAAAAAUGGGAAUAUU